rnacentral:lncRNA from 10 species
GGGCUAGGGAAUCAGCUUAAGUGGAGGAGCGUUCGUUUAGUAUGUGAGAGGUAACGGGAUCGAUGCCUGCAUUCUCCACAGGGGAAUUUUUAUCAGAAUGAUUUCCCAUUGCGAUCUCUUUACCUGAAAGAGGUGGCUGUCCUCGUAGCGGGGUCAAGGUGAGGGAUCGCGGAAUAUCCCUACCUGUGACGCACCGCCAAGAGAUAAGUGCCCUUGUCCUGGGAGAAGGACUUAGACGAGAACUUUUGGGGUUUGGUUUUGUUUGAGACGGAGUUUCCCUGUUGUCCCCCAGGCUGGAGUGCAGUGGUGCGACCUCAGCUCAUUGCAACCUCCGCCUCCCAGGUUCAAGCAGUUCUGUCUCAGCCUCCCGUGUAGCUGGGAUUACAAGUGCACGCCACCAUGCCCGGCUAAUUUUUGUAUUUUUAGAAGAGACGGGUGUUUCACCAUGUUGG